rnacentral:rRNA from 1 species
UGGGGAAUAUUGCACAAUGGGCGCAAGCCUGAUGCAGCCAUGCCGGGUGUGUGAAGAAGGCCUUCGGGUUGUAAAGCACUUUCAGCGGGGAGGAAGGCGAUAAGGUUAAUAACCUUGUCGAUUGACGUUACCCGCAGAAGAAGCACCGGCUAACUCCGUGCCAGCAGCCGCGGUAAUACGGAGGGUGCAAGCGUUAAUCGGAAUUACUGGGCGUAAAGCGCACGCAGGCGGUCUGUCAAGUCGGAUGUGAAAUCCCCGGGCUUAACCUGGGAACUGCAUUCGAAACUGGCAGGCUAGAGUCUUGUAGAGGGGGGUAGAAUUCCAGGUGUAGCGGUGAAAUGCGUAGAGAUCUGGAGGAAUACCGGUGGCGAAGGCGGCCCCCUGGACAAAGACUGACGCUCAGGUGCGAAAGCGUGGGGAGCAAACAGG